rnacentral:rRNA from 1 species
CACGUAGGAGGCAAGCGUUAUUCGGAUUUACUGGGCGUAAAGCGCAUGUAGGCGGCUCGGAAAGUUGGAUGUGAAAGCUCCCGGCUUAACUGGGAGAGGUCGUUCAAUACUUUCGGGCUAGAGGAUGGGAGAGGGAGGUGGAAUUCCGGGUGUAGUGGUGAAAUGCGUAGAUAUCCGGAGGAACACCAGUGGCGAAAGCGACCUCCUGGCCCAAACCUGACGCUCAGAUGCGAAAGCUAGGGUAGCAAACGGG